rnacentral:misc_RNA from 1 species
GGAAGGAUCAUUAACACGUUUAAAGUCCCUUCUAUAAACCCGUGUGAACCCCAAAACAGUGGGACGCAAUUAAGGAUGGAGGAUCCCUUAAUUGUCCCCUCUGUGGCUGUGUCCAGUCUUAUUCAAACUGGUUAAUUCUGGUUUUUAAGCUGGCGACAGUCGAAAGGAAAACAACGUUAUAGGCAUAUAGCGUUAAUUGUGUAUGCGCAUUUUCUCUUGCCACAGUUUGUAACUGGUAAAGCCCUCGUGUUGUGAGCAAUUACGGCUCACGUAAGCCACUGAGGGGCAGGGGAAUUGUGGGAGAAAGUGUGGCUGCUUUUAAUUAGCUUAUGUUUAUUAACAACCUCCGCCCAUAUUUACCAAUUUUUUUUAUAACAAUUUACUCGUUGUCUAAUCAAUUUAGCAGUGGAAACACUAUCUAGAUUAAAAUCUAUACAACUUUCAGCAACGGAUCUCUUGGUUCUCGCAACGAUGAAGAACGCAGCGAAAUGCGAUACGUAAUGCGAAUUGCAAAAUUCAGUGAAUCAUCGAAUCUUUGAACGCAAAUUGCGCUCCCGGGAUACCCCUGGGAGCAUGCCUCUUUGAGUAUCGUUAACAACCAUUCUCUCCCAAAUUUUAUUUGUGGAGGAUUUGGACGUUCAUGCUGCAAUAUUGCAUGUCGUCUUAAGUGCAUCUUACUUGGCAAGCCCAGUUCAGAUAAUGGCCUUAUCUGUUUAGUGCUUUCCUUCAAUAAGAUAUAAUUCGUUAUAACUUUUGAGGGAGUAGGCUAGCAGCAUAGUUGGCGUUACUUCUGCGACUGUUAAUUACUUGACUUGGCAGUAAGACUUUUAAACAACCAAAAUCCGAGAAGCUCAGCCUUCUCGUUUGUUUUGAUCUCAAAUGAGGUAGGAAGACCCGCUGAAUUUAAGCAUAUAAAUAAGCGGAGGAAAAGAAACUAACAAGGAUUCCCCUAGUAACGGCGAGUGAAGCGGGAAGAGCUCAACUUGAAAAUCGGAGACCUUCGGUCUUUGAAUUGUAGUCUAGAGAAGCAAUGUCCGCGGUGGCCCAGGUCUAAGUCCCUUGGAACAGGGUGUCAAAGAGGGUGAGAACCCCGUUUUGGGCUUGGAGUCUGCUAUGUACGACGUGCUUUCAACGAGUCGGGUUGUUUGGGAUUGCAGCCCUAAUUAGGAGGUAAAUUUCUUCUAAAGCUAAAUACUGGCGAGAGACCGAUAGCGAACAAGUACCGUGAGGGAAAGAUGAAAAGAACUUUGAAAAGAGAGUUAAAAAGUGCGUGAAAUUGCUGAAAGGGAAGCGAUGGAGACCAACAUAUGCUGGGGCCCAUAUUUUGCCUUUAUAGGUAUCAGUCUCUCCAGAUUUGAGUUUACUCCAGUUCUGGUUUGGCUGCAUAUCUACAGGGGUGUCCUGUGGGUUCUGGCGAGUCAGAAUCAAUUCGUUUGGCAGUAGAUAGGUUGUAAGAAGGUACCAGGAAUGCAAGCACUUGUCUUUCUGGGAAAUAUCUUGCAGUCAACACUGUCGUUCGGAUUGAGGAAAGCUAAUGUUUGCCUUUGGGCAGCGGUUAUAGUUCUCUGUUCUUUCUAAUGGUGGAGGAUAACAAAGUUAUGCUUUGCUUAUUAGGGAGGCAUUGGGGCUGUAAUUGUCUCAAGCAUUGGUGAUUCUGACGCAAUGGUUCUUCACCGACCCGUCUUGAAACACGGACCAAGGAGUCUAACAUAUAUGCGAGUAUUUGGGUGUUAAACCCUGAUGCGUAAUGAAAGUAAAGGCCUUCGGGCUUAGGUGGGAUCCCUUUAGUUUUCGAACGGGGGUGCACCAUCGACCGAUCGUCCACUUGUGGAAGAUUUGAGUAAGAGCAUAUCUGUUGGGACCCGAAAGAUGGUGAUCUAUGCCUGGACAGGGCGAAGCCAGGGGAAACCCUGGUGGAGGCUCGUAGCGAUACUGACGUGCAAAUCGUUCGUCUGAUCUGGGUAUAGGGGCGAAAGACUAAUCGAACCAUCUAGUAGCUGGUUCCCUC